UCCGUAGGGUGCAAGCGUUGUCCGGAAUUAUUGGGCGUAAAGAGCUCGUAGGCGGUCUGUCGCGUCGGCUGUGAAAACUCGGGGCUCAACCCCGAGCCUGCAGUCGAUACGGGCAGACUAGAGUGCUGUAGGGGAGACUGGAAUUCCUGGUGUAGCGGUGAAAUGCGCAGAUAUCAGGAGGAACACCGGUGGCGAAGGCGGGUCUCUGGGCAGUAACUGACGCUGAGGAGCGAAAGCGUGGGGAGCGAACAGG
rnacentral:rRNA from 1 species